CUCCCGCCCCCGCCCGUUUUACUGAUGCGGAAAUGGAGAAUCAAGGAGACCCCCUGUGGGGCUCACCAGGCCCGCUCACUGGGUGCGCAUGCUCCUGAUGAGGACCGAGGGCUCUGCCCCUCACGGUGGGCUUUCGGGGUGAAAAGUGCUCAAGUUGGACUCUGCCGGGCCCACUAGUACAGUCUGAAGCAAGUCACCUCUCUCUGAGCUCUGGUCUUCUCAACUGUAAAAGGGGACAGUCUCUCUGGUGAGCUCCUGUGAGAAUUAUCUAGAAGAGAGGCAGGUGCACCACGAGCUUGCCACAAGGGAGAGACCCAACGCAUUUUAGCUCUCUUCCCACUGGCUCCUCCUCCCUCCUCUCCUGUAGACCGUGGUCCCCUGGAAACCCGAGCUCUUUGGUUUUGUGGGUGGAUGGGAGGGCAAAUGUGGCUUUGCUCCUCCAUAAGGACAAGGCUGCUUCCCUACCUGGUUAUUACCUGCUGCUAUGGGCCGAAUUAUGUCCCCCACAAAUGCGUAUGUUGAACCCCUAACCCCCAAUGCGACUGCCUUUGGAGUAGGGGAGUAAUGAAGGUUAAAUGAAGUCAUAAGAGUGAGGCCCUAAUCUGAUAGGCUUAGUGUCUUUAUGAAAAAGGAUAGCAGAGAGCUUGCUGUCUCUCACGUGAGGACACAUGAGAAUGUGGCCAUCUGCCAGCCAGGAAGAGAGCUCUCACCAGCAGCCAAACGCUGUAGUUCGGGAUCUUGCAUUUCCCAGCCUCCAGCACUGUGAGAAAUACGUUCCUGUUGUUUGAGCCCCCCAGUCUAUGGCAUUUUGUUACAGCAGCCUGAGCUGACUAAGACGCCUGCCACGUCAGCAUUGCCAGGCCUACCCACCCUGGAGGGUCAGCUUUUUAAGAGAGGAUGACCAUCCUUUGUCAAGGCAUAAGUGUAAGAGAAGUGCACAGCGUUUGGACCAGUGCGUCACUGAGGCUGCUAUUAUGGAGAAAGGAAGAGGGAGGAAAACUCAGGCCAUAAAGGGUGAACUCACUUGCCAAAAGCUGUGCCAGUGUCGACCACCUCUUCCUCUUUGAAGCCUCUGUUCUCUGGCGUCUGUCAUCCCCUGAUUUUUCUCCUGCUAGAACCCCUAGCUCCCUCCAUUCAUUGGGAUGCAGAAUUGAAGGGCUAUGCAGCUGUUCACAGAAUAAAGGAGAAGACCCAGAGUGGAAGAGAGAGGCAGGCUGGGGUUUUACAUCAGAAGAGAAUUUGGAGGACAGUUGCCUUGAGGAAUGGGAUUCUAAGGAGAAGAGAUGUCUACAGAGGGUUUCUAGAAAGUGAGUGUGCUAAAUAAUGCAUUUUCCCUCUUUGUCACCAUUUCUUCAAGAGCUUUCAAAAAGACUGACAAUGUAGUGUUGGAAUUUGUUUCUUUUAAAUAGGCUCGGUAGGGGGAUGAGCCUUGAGGAAAGAAUGCAGUGAGAAUCCCCAGUGUGUAGGUUAAAAGGCACCACGGCUUCUGACCCUGAGCCAGGGUUCUUCCCACUGCAGGUCUCCAGGCGCCUGCACUGUGUCUACCCUGCUGAAUAGGCUUGGCAGGUCACCCUGGGCAGCACGGUCUCGGAGUGCUGUGGUGGACGUCUCCUGAGGAGGACGAGGAGGCCGUCGUUGUCUUACGGGUCUGAGAUAGUUACCGCUGCCAGAGAAAUGGUGCUGCUGAGAUGCAGGAGCUGCUCUCUCCUUUAGCAAGUGUUUGUGCGACGCGUGUCAGGAGUUCAGAAGGGGGAAAUUAUGAAGAGGUUUGAGUAACCAGGAAGCAUUACUGCCUUUCGCUUGAAGAGGAGUGGUGGUUGAAUGAGAAAGUAGGAUCUCCUUUAAAAAAGAUUUGGGGCCAAAGGUGUGCAUGCCACUCAUUUUCAUUUUAAAAUGACAUACUGUAUUAUAAGUGUGUUUGAAUCUAUGAAUUGAUUUUAAUACUUAGUACUGUAUCUAGAGACGCUUCUUAAACAAAUGAAGCUUCUUGAUGGAGUCUCAUAAAUGCCCUGACAGUAAAAAUGUGGUUUUACAAGUUGUUCUGAAAAGCUGUUGAUUAAUCUAUGAACUUCUUAAUUCACAAAGGUGGAUUAGGGACAUAGUAUUCACAUCACAACAUAGUCAUUUGAUUUUCCAACAAGUUAUUUUUAAAAUGGGGCCCCCAGGUACGUUGAACUAGGUGGCGGAUUAAAGUAGUCAGCAGUUUUACUUUGAAUUCCUCUUCCUGUAGCAAAUCCACUAGAUAAUUUGGUGUUAUUUGGCCAACAGACCACUGGAUGGCGACGAAGACUGACAGGUUGCAGCCCCCCAGAUGGAGCAGGAACUGGGGCUGGGCCCAGGUCCAGGCGUAGCAGCUCUGGAGGAGAUGUAAUUCGUUGAGGACUACAGAAAAUGCCACCAGCCAAACCACCCCGUAUCAGUCUUUCGUCCACAGUUAGUAUGUGAGCUCUACACAGUGAAAUGGAGUUAGUUGGCCGAAAGCAGUCUGUUACCAUGAUUGAUUUUUGAAAAAGGCCUUGUGAGGUAGGCAUGGCAGGCAUUAUUGCCCCCAUUUCACAGCUGAGCAAACAGAGUUUCAGAGAGGUUUGGUGGAAGUCCUGUCUGUGAUGAUUUGGGGAGAACCUGGGCUUCUUUUACAAAUCCCCAGAUUUCCAGGGAAUGUUUCCUUACCUACCCACUCCCUCCCCAACCCCAGUCACACAACAAAGGACACAUGGAAAUAAGAGAGCAGGUCAUCCGUGAAGCCAUCCGAUGUAGUCCCUUUGUUAGAGGUGACAGAGCCCUAGCUCAAGAAGCAGCGUCUGGAGAGAACGAGAGAGAGGACGGAACUCAGAGAAUUUACAAGGACUGCCAAGAAUGAGACCUGCGUAGCAACCCUCCUCCCAGUUUUCAACUAUACCUGAGCGUUAGGAUAGAAGGCGCUGACAUCAGCGUUGCCAUGAUCUUGCAUGAUAUUUUUACAGUGCAGGCUCCCUCCUGCUGCCUACCUGGAUCCCUCUUCCGUGUCUGAAUUGUCCCAAAACACAGGAGCCCAAGGGCUUUUAUUUUUUCACUUGGAAAGCAAAUUGUAUCCUUUAAAUAAUUUGGAAGACUGUCUAGAGACAGUGCUUAAUUCAGUAAUUAAUUUAUAUAGCAGUUUGCACAUUUUUGUUUUCUGCUGACAAGGAUCUGACAUGUUGGCAGCUUCCAAUUAGUGUAAACAUGGGGAGUGGUUGGGAUACAUUGCUCUGACGUUGUAUUGUCACAAGAGAGUGGCUGCUCGGAAACUGAUGUUACUCUCUCUGGAAAAAUCAUUGCUACUGAAAAAAAAUAAUCUUUUUACUCCAUCUAUACAAAUGUGUGAUCCCCCUAAACUGACUUUGAAAUCAGAAUUUUUAACGUUAAUUAGUGAUGCGGUGAUAACAACCGGAGCUGUAACAUCCUGUGGUUGUGAAAGCCGGUCAUUGCCUUGGGCUCAUGACCCUGAGGCGAUCUGCAGGAAGCUUUCUCCUUUUCCUUUCAUUUAGCAUCAGACAAAGAUCUUUAAAGCAUCCCAACUGUAUCUUUCUCUGUGUGUUGUGUGAAGAAGUGUAGAAGGCUGGUUUGGCUUGGGGCAGGAGAGGAGCUGAAUGGGAUGCUAGGACUGAGGUCAAGUUGCCCAGGGCAAGUGCAGAGCAGAGGGCUUGUAUCCAGGCCACUCCUCAUCCACCUUUACCCUCAGGCAGCAGGUUCCCUUCAGAGCCUGCCCCCAAAUUGCUGUUUACAGCAGGAACACGCUGAUGGAUGUGCUGUUCACCAUCCAGCCUUGCUGUUGCUAGGAUGUUGCUAGCGUGGAUGGCGGUAGUGGGAAGAAUUCACAAUGGCUCUGGACCCUCAGCACGUGGAGGAGGAGGGAGCAGGAUGCUGUCUUAGCUUCAGUCACCCAGAAAGUAUAGCCGAGGUUCUGUGUGCUGCCAUUUUAUUUGGGGGUGCAGUCCUGGGGAGCAGGAGUGCAGGACAAGGGGAGUGACCUGGCCAAUGAGGGAGGACCCACAGGAGGACUUGAAGGGGCGUUAUUGACCUGGCUCCCACAAAAGGCAACUGAGUACUCAAUUACAAGGGACUUUCCUCUGAGAACCUGAAUCAGUGCCUCUCAGCAGAGUCCUCCCAGGGCCAGAAAGAUGGAGGCAUUUGUCCACCGUCUCCAGUCUCCUGCUGUUUGGCACAUGGUGCGGCCUGUGAGUGCAAGAGAGUGUCGGAAAGAUGAGACACGGUGGGGAGAAUGCAUUCUUUUACAGAGCCUCAUUUUUCUUUUGCCCACUGAGAUGUUCCCCACUCCUUCCACACACGUCUGUGUUGCUUCUGUUUGUGUAGGAGAUGGGGGGCUUCUGCUCUGUCUGCACCCAGAUUCCUUGGUGUGAAGUGACGCUUCUCAUUUCUUCUUGCUCAUAUUUUUCUAUUGAGUUGUCUUUUUCUUAUUGAUUUUUAGGAGUUCUUUACAUAUUUUGGAUAAAGGUCUUUUCAGUUACUCUUACAAAUAUUUUUUCUUGCUCUCUGGUUUUCCCUGGCUUGAUGACCUGUAUAAUUUUUUUUCUUUAAGGAAUGGAUGUCCUUAAUUUUAAUAUAAUCAAAAUGGUUAAUUUUCCUUUUAUGGUUUGUGCUUUUUGUGUCUGUUUUAAGAAUUUUUCUCUACCUUGAGGUCGUAAAGAUAUUCUAUAUUAGUGUAUGAAAGCUUUUCCCAUUUGGGUCUAAUUGAUUUGUCCUACUAAAGGGCUUAAUGUUUGUAUCCCCGCCUCGUGUGUGUGUGUGUGUGUGUGUGUGUGUGUGUGUGUGUUAGAAGCACAGAGAGAUGUGGUCAGAUGCUGUUUGCAGAGUGGAGAGCAGGCAGCGUUGGAGACGGGUGAGGAGGUAUUUGCUGCAGUCUAGGAGGGGCUGAUGGUAGCUUUGACUUGAGUGGUGAGGGUGGCAACAGAGAGAAAUGGGUGGAUUCGGUGUAUAUUUAGGAGGUAAAUCAGCAUGACGUGGUGAUGAAUAUAGGGUGGGGGAGGGGUUAAGGACUACCCCUGGUGACUCUUUUCUGCUGCUACCAACCGAUGCUUUCAUCCUUCUUCUGUCUAUUAUUUUUCUAUUUUAUUGCUUCUCUCCACUUAGUUUCUUCUUUCUCCUUGCUUCUCCUGACUUGGCCUUCCCUCUGGGCAUCCUUUGGCUUCCACUACUGUUGCAGAUGGUUAACUCUGCACACACAGCCAUAGAAAUUUUCCCAAGAGACUCUGACCCAGGUAGUUACCAUGAUUCCUGUUUGGGUAGGAAGGCCAGGUGCCUUGCACGCUGUGGGUCAGCACGCAUAUUGGCUGGCUGGGUGGUGCCUUCCUUAUGGCCAGGGGCUGCUGAUGGGAUCAUGGAGUUAGGAGCGGGGCCACACUCAAUAGAUGGGCAUUUAGGGUUGUUCUUUGUGCUGGGCCUUUGAGAAAAACAGAUCCCCUCAGAAGGGUUCUGUGAGCAGCUGGCACUUGGUGUGUCCUGUGAGUACAGAAGAGCUUUAGAAAGAGGAUACACUUAAGAGAAUGAAUUUUCUUUUUCACCAAACCCCAUUUUUCUUUAAUAAUGUUUAAAUGAUGAAUUUGCUUUCUAAAACACAUACUUAUAAGCAGAAACUUCCCAUGACUGUAAAACAAUUGUAGAUAGCAAAUAUAAUAUUUGAAGCUGGUUUCCAACACAGAGGGUUUCAUUUAUUAAUAGUAUACCAGCCAAAGCUUUGACUCUGAAAUAUUUUGUUUAUGCAUAAACCAUGAAUUUGAAUUGACAAUCCUAUUAAUGAUGGAAUGCAGUUAUGUAUAUUUAUGAUAAAAGAACCAAGUGGAUAUUUUUUGAACCUCAUUACAUGCAAGACAGAUUGAAAACAGUGGUUGUAGAGAACGAAAACAGGCCUUGAUAUCACGUUCAGUAAAACAUGUCAGAGGUGAGAUGUCGGAAAGGGCUGAAAUAUGAGGGAAGGUGUGGAGUUGCAAGGGGCUUCAUUUAAGCACAAGCUCAUGUAUUAAUAUUUCCAUUGAUUUAUUUUCAUGCCAAUAUCAUCUGACAUAAAUAUGGUGAUCUAUAAUGUAUCGACCAUAAAAGUCAACAUUAUUUUUAAAGCUGACUCGGUGAAAUAAAAUCUCAUUGUUAGUGCUGAUAUAUACGGUAUGUUACCCUGUUGAAAAAUUAACCUCUCCUGUUCUGCUCCUGAUUGAGCUAAAGAAGAGGAUGCAUUGGAUGGCUGCUGACCUUCUGUGCAUGUUUGCUUCAUGGCCAAUGUCCAGUUUGCAAUGGGACGGGCCCACAGUGUGAAGUAAAGAACAGUGCAUAUUCAACACCCUAGAAAAGACUCUGCCAAGAAUGGAGGAUAAUCAGCAAACAUCUUUGCCCUUUAGAGGAUGCAAAGGCCUGUGACAGUCUCCUGGACAGACACUGUAGAGCCCACAGCCUGUGUCUUCAGCAAAUGUGUCACUCGUGCUGAAUCUCAUUACCUGGUGGAGGUGAUUGCUCACCAAGAUCUCUGGCCUCCAUUCUCUCCUGAUGAGUCUGCCCACCCUUCCCGUUCUCCAUAUUUUACCGCAAUUUUCAGCUGAUAUCAGCAUGUAGCGUGUCCUGCUGGCCUGUUCUUGGAGCUGGAGCUGGGCAGCCUGUCCGCAGAGGGCUCACGCUCUGGUGGGAGAAGACAGACGUUAAGUACCAACAAGAAAAUAAGUAACUGUGUAAUAUGUCCCAUGGUGAUCAACAUUGAAAAUAAGAAAGCAGAGUAAGGGGAGAUGGAGAGCUGGAGACGUGGGAUGCUGCUUCUGGAGUGCGGCCAGGGCAGUGCUCCCGCCCGGGAGUUCAGGGCCGUGAGUGCAGUGAGGGCAUGGCCGUGGGAGUGGCUGGGGGAAGGGCGGGAGCUGGGUUUAUGUCUCCUUUUACUCAGAUAUAUUCCUGAGAAGUGGUAUGUAAAUUGAGUUUUAAGCCUAUUAUGGAAACUUCUUAUAACUUGUUUUUCCCUAAAAAUCUCUCUAAAAUGAGGACCCCAUCGGUAAAAUGAACAAUUAUGCUUUAAAAGUGUCUGCAUUGUGAGUGCAAGCGUCCACAUAUUGAACUUACUUUAAGCAGGUUACGAACAUUUAGGGUAAAAUGUUACAGGUGAAUGAGGACAAGAACAGUUGGAAUGAGUAAAAAGUCUUGGAUGUAGAAUUUUUUAAAAAGUUAUUAUUUUAAACUAUGUAUAAUAAUCAAAUCAGCAGUGUUGUCUGCUGGCGGCUCUUACGUUCCUCUUUGAAUUAAUAACCAGAACGCUUUAUUAUUAGCAUAUGAAAAUCACAAGUGCUUUCAAAAUAUCUUAUAGCUCUUAAAAAGUGAUUUCUGUAGUCAAGUCAGCGUUGUCUUUGUCCUUUUAUGUGCACUGAGGAUGUGCAGGAAAUACGUGUUUUCAGAAUGAAUGCAGGCGUAACUCAGGCCUGGGGCAGCUGAUCACAGUUUUCGAAUAAACGUGUUUAAGCCUCCGAGAAGGUCCUCUGCCCUUGACGUUCACCCCUCCUGCAUUCAGCGAUUGUUUUGAAAAACAAAACAAAACAAAAGUGUUAACAGAAGACAGUGAAUUACCAAACUUGUCAUCACUCCAUUUUAAAAGCAACUCUUAUGUAUAAACUUUGACUUUAUAACACAAAUUGCAUGAUCUGGUGGUCGAGGUUCAACCUCAGGGGAUCUCCGCUUUGAUUGCCGUUGCUGUUUCAGAACGGGAAGGUGCCUGUUAAUUUGGAGAAGAGCACACCUGUUGUGAAGGUGGGCCGUCAGUAUCAAGAAGAGGGUCCCUCCUGCCCGUCACUCCUUGCAUCCCCCCUUCAGUAGGUACAGGACAUGUCAGAUGCUGAAGAGCGGAAUCAGGCCCAUCCUUUUCGGACGAGUGUCAGGACAUUUUAGGGUAAUGCUUGUGUGACACCAUCCCCACCUCCCCCUAUGGAAGAACACUCAGUGAAUCAUCCACAUUGUUCCCUCUGCUGUCCCAAGUUUACUGAUUACAGCUGUCUUUCUUAGGUUCCCUGAGAUGAGGUUUCCAUGUAUUUUUUCUGUCGAGUUAAAUAGCGUAGCUGUUACUUUCAAUAUGUGAAAACAUUUGUCUCCUCACGGCACAAUGGUAUUUUAUGAGCAAGC
rnacentral:lncRNA from 1 species